rnacentral:rRNA from 1 species
AUUGAACGCUGGCGGCAGGCCUAACACAUGCAAGUCGAACGGUAACAGGAAACAGCUUGCUGUUUCGCUGACGAGUGGCGGACGGGUGAGUAAUGUCUGGGAAACUGCCUGAUGGAGGGGGAUAACUACUGGAAACGGUAGCUAAUACCGCAUAACGUCGCAAGACCAAAGAGGGGGACCUUCGGGCCUCGUGCCAUCGGAUGUGCCCAGAUGGGAUUAGCUAGUAGGGGGGGUAACGGCUCACCUAGGCGACGAUCCCUAGCUGGUCUGAGAGGAUGACCAGCCACACUGGAACUGAGACACGGUCCAGACUCCUACGGGAGGCAGCAGUGGGGAAUAUUGCACAAUGGGCGCAAGCCUGAUGCAGCCAUGUCGCGUGUAUGAAGAAGGCCUUCGGGUUGUAAAGUACUUUCAGCGGGGAGGAAGGGAGUAAAGUUAAUACCUUUGCUCAUUGACGUUACCCGCAGAAGAAGCACCGGCUAACUCCGUGCCAGCCGCCGCGGUAA